rnacentral:rRNA from 1 species
UAGGGAGAGGUAAGCGGAAUUCUAAGUGUAGGGGUGCAAUCCGUAGAUACUUAGAGGAACACCAAAAGCGAAGGCAGCUUACUGGAACUAUAUUGACGCUGAGGAACGAAAGCGUGGGGAGCGAAAAGGAUUAGAUACCCUUGUAGUCCACGCCCUAAACGAUGAUAACUAAGUGUUGCACUUUGGUGCAGUGCUGUAGCUAAUGCGUUAAGUUAUCCACCUGAGGAGUACGGUCGCAAGAUUAAAACUCAAAGGAAUAGACGGGGACCCACACAAGCAGUGGAUCACGUGGUUUAAUUCGACAAUAAACGGGGAACCUUACCCAGACUUGACAUCUACCGAAUGAUUUGGAGACAGAUCGGUGCUCGUAAGAGAACGGUAAGACAGGUGCUGCAUGGUUGUCGUCAGCUCGUGCCUUGAGGUGUUCGGUUAAGUCCGUUAACGAGCGCAACCCAUGUCGUUAGUUAUUAUGUCUAACGAGACUGCCUUGGUUAACAAGGAGGAAGGUGUGGAUGACGUCAAAUCAGCAUGGCUUUUACGUCUGGGGCUACACACAUGAUACAAUGGUGUAUACAAAGAGCAGCGAUACGGUAACGUGGAGCGAAUCUCAAAAAUACAUCUCAGUCCGGAUUGAGGUCUGCAACUCGACCUCAUGAAGUUGGAAUUGCUAGUAAUCGUGAAUCAGAUAUGUCACGGUGAAUAUGUUCCUGGGCCUUGUACACUCCGCCC